rnacentral:lncRNA from 1 species
CUUUCCAAAUAUCUUGCCAAAGACAUGUGCAUUUGUUUCUCAUCGCUUGUCCUUUUAGCAGAAGCACUGUAUCCGACACCGAGAGCAUGUUGGAGGAUCUCAUGGUAAAGGUAAUCUUUCUUCCUAUUGGGACAAAUCGGGCAAGCAAACAAGCGACUACUUGGAUCCGUUGCUUUCUUACUCCUUUGAUCCGAUGGCUUCUUUAGAGGUUGUUUUUGAAGAUUUGGCUUGCAUGGUGGAGCACCAACAGUUGCCUCCAAGUACCUAGCCAAUGCCCCGUGAUUUGCUUUCUCCCGGCAUGUCCUUUUGGCUGACUUACUAUUGCCAACCCCAUAAGCAUGUUCAAAAAUCGCAAGGUAAGGAUAGUCUUGCUUUCUGUCCUUGGGACAAUAUGGACAGGCAAAGGUGCCAUCAGGAUUUCGUACACUGUAUUUCCCACUCUUCAAUUCUUCAUAACAUUGAUCUUCAUAUUCAUCCCUUUCUGACUCGCUUAUAUCUGUGCUGAUCUGAGAAUCAUCCUCCAUCUGGCAAAGGUGCCAUCAGGAUUUCGUACACUGUAUUUCCCACUCUUCAAUUCUUCAUAACAUUGAUCUUCAUAUUCAUCCCUUUCUGACUCGCUUAUAUCUGUGCUGAUCUGAGAAUCAUCCUCCAUCUGCUCCAGCUCCAACUACUCUCACGGGUCUCUGAAAGUGAGCACCAAGUUUCUUAGGUAGGAUUUACUGAAUAUAUUGUCAAUGUAAAGCACUCAUAAGCCACAUUUCAAAUAGAAAGCACCUAUGAUCAAGUAAGUAUACUUGCAGUUAGAUUAACCAACAAACUAUAUGGGUUCGAGAAACGAACACACAAAAAACAAUACAAACGCGAAAUGACAAUGAAAAUGUGACAUUGGAAGUCCCGUACGGACCUUCAGAU